UUGGUGUACGUAGCAGGCCCCUCGCGCCUCAGGGAUCUACAGUAUACUGGGGUGGAACUUCACACUCAUACACUAGUGAUAGGAUUACGUGCUUCUUGAUAUUGACGGUGAAGUCACUACCUGGUAAAACUGGUUGAUUUCCCUGGAGAUCUGUCAGCAUCACGUCCUACAAGAGUUCCUCUUCUGGUGUUGGUGAAGGAUGACGCGGGCGCUGGUGACGAUACUGGUGGUGGCCUGCCUGGCGACUUGCUCCUCCGCUACAUCAAAUAAAAGUGACGUGUUGGAGCCAGAGUACAAGAUCAUAUCAGAUGCGAUCAUCGUUGAUUUGUUUAGGAUGGGCACUGCCAUGCUCAUCGUGGUCGGAGGUUGUCUCCUGUUCCGCGAGCUCGCCCUUGGCACCCUUAGCGCACUAGAAACGACAGAGGAGGAAGAGGAGGAUGGUUAUAAAGACAGGAACGACAUCUACAACUUCCACCGACCCAGUUUUUACGAUUAUCACAGACGACGGCCGUAUCCCCGAGCCAUGAUGGGCAGUGUGUCUCUCCUCACGAGGGUUCUCAACAGUAUCGACGCAGAGGAAUUCGGCUCUCGCCAUACUAGGGGUGGAGGACGUAGCCUGUCGGAGACGCACCGUGUGUGAGCUACAGCGAGCCUCCUCCAGGAUGCCCAUCUUAGCUUCCCUCGUCCAGUAUAUGAGUCCGUCCAUCAGUGGUCUAGAGUUCAGAAAGGCACAGGAGGCUGGUGCUGCCCUGGAGGACUGCGCGCGUCUCUUCUACGAUUGUCCGAAAUCCCCAACCUAGUUCUUGGAGGAGAGUAAGUGACCCUCCAUUAAGGAUAGAAAUCGUGUGGGACUUUUCGGUGUCUGAACCUCUACUAUGACCUCGAGAGUUGUUUUUAGUAUAUUUUGUUAGGUUAUAUGAGAACAUUUCUAUAUUCAAAAACAAACUUUGUUUUCUACAUUGAGCGAGCCAUAAAGCACAGUAAAUUACUUCUGAUGUAAAGUUGUGUAGUUUACUAAGAUUUUAUGUUUGUCUUUCUGUAACAGUGAAACUGCUGAAAGUAGCCUUUUAGCUUCCUAUACAUUAGUUACCAAGUCUUUAUCUCUGAAAAUAUAUUAGAGCAGGAUAUUAAACAAUGUAAAUUAAAUUUUUCUUCUGUUUUAUUUAGAUUUUAGUAAUAUUGAGCUUAAUAAAACGUUUUUCUGACUGUGUCAGACAGACUACUCGAAAUAAAACUGAAUUGCUGGUAA